CAGCAGCCACGGGAAUACGAAGGGGGCUAGCGUUGCUCGGAAUCACUGGGCGUAAAGGGUGCGUAGGCGGGUCUUUAAGUCAGGGGUGAAAUCCUGGAGCUCAACUCCAGAACUGCCUUUGAUACUGAAGAUCUUGAGUUCGGGAGAGGUGGGUGGAACUGCGAGUGUAGAGGUGAAAUUCGUAGAUAUUCGCAAGAACACCAGUGGCGAAGGCGGCUCACUGGCCCGAUACUGACGCUGAGGCACGAAAGCGUGGGGAGCAAACAGGAUUAGAUACCCGCGUAGUCCCUGUCUCUUAUAA
rnacentral:rRNA from 1 species